CUUGGUUUGCAACAAUUUUAUGGACUUUGUUUGGUACUAUCAAGAAUAGGCUUAUUUUUAGAGAUGGGGUUUCUCUUGCAAGUGAGAACCUUGGAAAAAGUAAACUAUAUCAAGAAUAGGCUUAUUUUUAGAGAAGGGGUUUCUCUUGCAAGUGAGAACCUUGGAAAAAGUAAACUACUUUUCAGAAUAAUCAAAGUUAGUUUGGUGAUUUCUUUACUUAUGUUGGCCUUUGAGAUUGUUGCUUACUUCAAAGGUUGGGAUUAUUUUCAGAAUCCAAGUUUGUAUAUUCCACAUACUUCUGAUGUUUUGGGGUUGUUCCAUAUAACUUAUGUUGGUUGGUUGGAUUUUCGCGCUGAUUAUAUCGCUCCUUCUGUUCAAAAUCUUUCCACAUUCUGUACUGUUUUUUUCCUAAUUCAGUCAUUAGAUCGUUGCUGAUUAUAUCGCGCCUUCUGUUCAAAAUCUUUCCACAUUCUGUACUGUUUUUUUCCUAAUUCAGUCGUUAGAUCGUUUGGUACUUUGUUUGGGUUGCUUAUACAUAAAGUGCAUGAAGAUUAAGC
rnacentral:lncRNA from 1 species